rnacentral:rRNA from 1 species
GACGAACGCUGGCGGCGGGCUUAACACAUGCAAGUCGAACGGAAAGGCCCCUUUGGGGGUACUCGAGUGGCGAACGGGGGCGUAACACGGGAGUAACCUGCCCUUGACUUCGGGAUAACGUCAGGAAACUGGGGCUAAUACCGGAAAGGAAUCCUUGCUGCAUGGUGGGGGUUGGAAAGCUUCGGCGGUUUUGGAUGGACGCGCGGCGUAUCAGCGUGUUGGUGGGGUAGUGGCUUACCCAGGCUCUGACGGGUAGCCGGCCUGAGAGGGUGACCGGCCAUAUUGGGUCUGACAGGCGGCCCCGGCUCCUACGGGAGGCAGCUGGGGGGAAUCUUGCACCAUCGGCGCCGGCCUGAUGCAGAAGCGCCUCGUGCGGGAUGACGGCCUUCUGGUUGUAAACCGCUUUCAGCAGGGGCGAAGCUUGUGGUGACGGUACCUGCAGAAGAAGCACCGGCUAACUACGUG